GGAGUUGUGGCUCAGAGGUAGAGUACUCGCCUAGCAUGCAUGAAGCUCUGAGUUUGAUCCUCAGCACCA
rnacentral:tRNA from 1 species